rnacentral:RNase_P_RNA from 1 species
UGAGUCGGCCGGGUGGUCGCGUCCCGGGUUUCGGCCCGGGCCGAGGAACGUCCGGACUCCACAGGGCAGGGUGCUGGACAACUCCCAGUCGGGGCGACCCGCAGGACAGUGCCACAGAGAACAAACCGCCGAUGGCCGGGGCAACCCGGAACAGGUAAGGGUGAAACGGUGCGGUAAGAGCGCACCAGCACCCGGGGUGACCCGGGUGGCUCGGUAAACCCCACCCGGAGCAAGACCAGACAGGGGGCACGGGUUGCCCGCCCCCGGAGCCUCGGCUCCGGAACCCCCGGGUAGGUCGCUGGAGCCGUCGGGUAACCGCCGGCCGAGAUGGAUGGCCGCCCCGGGCCUCACGGCCCGGACAGAAUCCGGCGUACAGGCCGACUCACCGC